rnacentral:lncRNA from 1 species
UUUUUGCAAAUAACUUUUUGCCCUUUUCGCUUCCUUGUUUGAUUUACUGCUUCUUCCUCUUUGUUUUUUCCUUUUGAAUUUGACAUGGUUCCGAAUAAUAUUUUGCUACAUUUUCUGUAUGCAUGUAUUACUGUUUACUCCUUUUGAUCCAGUUGUAAUAAUUUCGGGUGAAGAUUGAUGAACCAAAGGUGUUCGAUGAUAUGCCUGAAACAACUAAAUCAUUAAGUAAGAUUCUUACUGCGGCUGCUGGAUUUGCUUGCAACAACACAGGUUGCUAUUUGUGAAUUUCGACGAACAAUAGGAAAACAAAAGGUGUUGCUUUCUUACCUAGCCUGCUUUCCUUUCUUGCUUUCAUGAUCCUUUCUUCAGUCUUCAGAGGUUCUCUUUCGCGAACAAACAAAAAGCUAGAGUUAAUCUUUUCAAUUAUGCAUUUUUGGCUUGAGAUGUUUAUGUUUCUGCAUCGCCUGAUUUUUCUUCUGUAAAUUCUUCGUGCUGCAGAAUCUUUUUUUAUUUGCCUUUAAUUCGAUCAUGUUGGAUGACUUCUGUUCUUCCGAGUUAGUUCCUUUCUGCAAGAGCUUUAAUUUAUUGAGUUACUGAUGACUUCUUUUCUUCCGAGUUAGUUCCUUUCUGCAAGAACUUUAAUUUAUUGAGUUGCUCAAGCAAUUGACAAAACGUAGGAGCUGCAAUAUUAGAACCCUCAAAACUUCAUAUAAAGUAUAAAAAAUGCUAACCAACAAAAAAUAGAAGGGGGAAAAAGGAUCCUCUUCUGACACAGAAAACCCCAAAUAUGUAUUCCAUAAUAGUAUUGAGGUGUGGGAUAAAGAAACUACCUAUUUCCAACUUGAGUUCUUCAUUGUAUUUCAGUAACAGUUUGCUUGGAGGUUUACGUUUGUAACAAUAUAGUGACAAGUUUGUACUCUAUAGGUAAGACAUAUAGUUCCUGGUUUUACCGGUUAUACUUACUUCAACUUAAAAUUACAUAGUAGGUACGUGUAGUAAUGAAAAGAAGUUCAGUGUGGAGUUGACGAAGUUUUUCUCUUUAUAGGUUGUUAUUUUAGGUGACGAUAAACUACUCUCUGGUUCUCUCUACUUUCUACUUUAUUGUCACUUUUAUUGGUCUAUUAGGACUCUGAGUCUCAGACAGUAAUGUUAAUUUGAUAUGUAAAAAAAAGAUAGUGAGAAUAUAUUAAGGGGUGUUGUAGUACCAUGCUUGUAGUUGUUCGCAUUGUGGAAAAGGCGGAUCAAUCAGUAUUGUUGUGUUGAAUUUUGUCGUCAACGAUACACCUACGUUAACUACAUUAGAUAUUAAUAAGUUUGAAGUCGGAGAGGAAUUAUCAUUCAAAAUAAGUAUAUUAAGACUAAUAAGUCAUUACUGAACUUAAUCAACUAUUAGUUGAUCCAAACAUGCAUUGACAGGACCAUAUUAGGCAAAAUCAGCAUCACAAACAAAGAGUAUGUUCCAUUAGCAAGGGUCAAGGGAAGUAAAUAGCGUUCUAUAGAUCUAAAAGGAGGAGGAUAGAGGGAGAACAAAUUGUUCGCGGGUGAAACUUGCGAAAAAGCUUUGACGAAUGAUAUGUACAUAGUGAUAAUUCAAGUAGGAGAAGAAAAGAAGAACAACCAAAUGUUCACGUAUGAAUCUCGCGAAAAAGUAAUAGUUCAACUGUGUUUAAUUAUACCGAAGUUCUGCUCUUAGUAGGUUGUUAUUUCAGGUGACGAUAUCAUUCUGAGUUAGUUUUUUCUCACUGUAAUUGUAAUCAAUAAACAACCCUUUAGUUCUCUCUAUUUUCUUCUUCGCUGUCACUCUUAUUGGUCUAUUAGGACUCUUGAUUCUCAAACAUUAAGUAUGAUUUGUCCAGUGGUAUCCAGUAGAACAUAAAAGCAUUAGUAUUUCUCUUAUAAUACAUAGAUGGUAAUAGUAUGGGUAGCAAAAGAAAAAGAGAACUUCAGAACAACCAAUUGUUCACGUGUUAAACUAGCGAAAGAGUUAUUAAAAGUGAUACAUAGAUGUUGAUAGUUGAAACUAGCGAAAAAUUUAUAUGAACAACCAAAUGUCCACGCGUGACUCACGAAAAAGUAAUAGUUCAAUUGUGUUUGCUUCCAUUAUCUCUUCAAUUUACUUGUCAAAUGUGGAUCUGAUAAUCUAGGAACUUACGGACUUGAAUUGUAUGUAAUUAGAGUAGAAAAAAUUGAAGCUGUAAUAUUGACUUUGUUGACUGAAUCAUCUAUUCCUCACUGUUUUGUUUUUCGGGGUUUCUUGCUUUGCUGUGUUAGUGUUUUGCUCUAUAAAUAGAAAUUGUCCUUUUUCCUGGAUACCAAUUUUAUAUGCCACAAUGUUUGCUUGACCUAGAUUAUUACGUUGUGAUUGGUCCCUAGCAGCUGUCUAUCUAUGUCUAUGUAUGCUGAAAAGGAAGUUUCAAGUUGUAACCUCCAGUUUAUGUGACUUCUAUGUUGUUGGAAGUUCAUUAAAAAAAGGCCUGCUCAAUACAUGAGUGCAACAUAAUUCAACAAGAAAGGAGAGUUUUUUUAAAAUUUGCAGCACACGUUAAAGUGGCCAACCAGAAAGAACAACAAGCUCUUCUUCGUUAAAACCUUGUCUACUGAAGAGACAACUAGGUUGGGGAAUCAUCAUAGGCUGUAAGAUGUUAACCUAAUGUGUCAACAUAUAUAUUUGUGUGUGCCAUGAAUCUAUUAUUUGAACUUUUACCUUUUUGCUAUUUCCGUUGACCUGCCAUUUGACUUUUCUGCUAAUUAGAGUAAUUUUAGAAAUAAAAUCUUCGUUUAAAUUUUAGUUCUGACUGAUAUAAUGGAUGGUUACUUCACCUUCUGUAGGAUUUUGGAGCUCACAUUUCUCCAGCUAAGGAAACAAAGGCUAUUCUCUUCACUGACAAACGUAAGUUCCUCCAUUUCUGUGUUCUACAUAUUGGCUUAUAUUAAUAUACUGUGUUGUUCUUUAUUUUACCUAAGUUCCUCCAUUUUUCUACAUAUUUACUUAUAUUAAUAUACUGUUAUGGUCUUUGCACAGUUUCUACCAUGAUACAAAGGUCAACAAACUUUUCCAUAUAAUCACCUUCUCAGGGACAGCUAAACUCUUGACCUUUUUUGGCAGAUAACGACACCAGACCACUUUUGUUGAUUCAUUUCAAAAUCCAACUUCAACAGCCCUACGUGCAACUGUAACAUUAACAUCUGUUUUUUCUCUUUCACAGCAAGCUUUUUGUAUAACCUUGCACAAAAGUUAUGUAAUAUAUUUAAAACAUAACGAUGCCUUCUUUAUUUUCACGUCGAUAUCAAACUGGCACGGGCACUCACCCCCUAGUCUUCUUCUUUUUUUUUGCUUACUCCACCCCCUAGUCGUCGUCAUCAUCAUCAUCAUCAUCAUCAUAUUUAGAAAUGGGAGUUUGAUGUACCAACACAGCUUUAACAAGUUGUACCAAAAGCUGUGGAUGGUACCUUAUACAUGGGCCUUCAUCUUUUCCCUGUUGACACGUGUAUUGUUAUUUAGUUUGUAAGCAAAUCACGUGCACUCCUGAACACAGCCACAAAAAUUGUACUAUGUGCUGGGAUAUUUUAGUCAUUGAAUAAAAGUUUUAAUAUUCCAGCCAAGUAGUAUGUAUGUGUCCCUGUUUUCUCUACUCUUUUCCUAUUUAAUUUACGAAAUCAAAAUCAACCUCUUCCUCCAAAACUCUUCAUCAAGUAUUUAUCUUUAUUUGCUCCUGUUUGGCUUGGGAUUUGAUUUAUCUAUUUUUUUUGUCGAUUUCUUUUUCAGAGGUUUCAAUUUUGGUUCGAAUUUUUCUCCCUGAUCACUAAUGGGUAGGUAGUAUUGCUUUGACGAUUUUGCCUCUUCUCUCCCAAAACAAUUCAAUGGCUGAAAUUUUAUGUUUUCGCGUCACUACUAAUUUAGUAACUUUAGAAGAUAUGAAUUCUGUAAUGAUUAUUCUACAAUUAGUUGUGUCUACUCAUGCAUGUUUUGUUUUGAAUAUUUGGUGUCAAAUUUCUUGAUUCCUAAAAGGACGUUUUUGGAGAGGUCAGCGAGGUUUUGGAGAUCAGAGAAGAUUGCAGUGGGUAUUGUUCUAGGGUUUUUUGGUGUUCUCUUUCGUUCUCCAUCAUUGUUGGCCUUCGGAUUUUUUUAAACUGAUUUUGUAUAUGCAUGUACUCAUUCACUAUUUUGUGUCAAUUGCAUAGUCCUUACUAAGAAGAAUCGAACAUGCUCUCUGAGUAAAAUUUUCACAAGUUAGUAAUGGAUUCAUGUUGUGUCAAUUAUUUUGAUUGCCUUUCGAUUAAUUUGUAAUCUAAAUUAUAGUUGGCUUUGCCCGUUUUAGUAAGGUAAUUUAUUCUAAUUUCAAAGAUUUAAGUUUACAGGGAAAAAAAUAUUGAGCUUGUAGUAGGGGAAACAAAGCUGAUGAAACUCGAGGUGUGAAAGUGUCACUCAACACCAUCGGUAAGUUAAUGAAAUUCUAUGUUCCGCAAUAGGAGAGAACAUGUAAUACGUUUAUAUUUAUCAAGCUUCUUCUCGAGUAUUUUAUGCUAUGAUAAGUUCUUUUUUCCUUGUAGAAAACAAAAAGAAAAUAUUUGCUUAUUGUUUCAUUCUUGACCUUUAAUAUGAUAUCUAGAGUUCUUCAUUUUCAUUUCCAUUAUUACCGUAAUGACAACAAUAAAAUUGUAGCUUAGACUUUUGUUGCUAGACUAUUUACAUGAUUGAAUAAUUCAAUAUAUAGCCCAAAAUGGAGGACAAAAAAAGGGAAGGGAAAUGGCACUUCAUGACAGUCUAUUGAUGUUGAAAUUUUCUCAGUUUCUUAUUUUUUUUUUAUAUAUAAAGUCCUUUGGUUUACAUUUCAUUGUUGAAUAUUUAUUUAUUCUGCCAAUUGCUCCAACAGACCUCAAGCAGCAUGUUGAUCUUCAUCAGUUAAUGCUUCCCUAUCUCGAAAAUUGUAUCUAUAUUUCGGAGAAGUAGUGGUAAGGCCUGUGCACACUCUACCUUCUUCAGAUUCCACUUUGUGAGAUUUCACUAGGUAUGUUGUUGUUGUUGUUGGUCACUUCAUCACUUUUCUCUAUUACUUCCAGUUCUUUUAUGCAUCUACAUAUGGGAUGUAUCAUCUUACGCUCUCCAUAUGAUGUAGUUCAUUUCCUUUGUUACCACAACACCAUCAAGUCUUCUGUCAAGGAAAUAAGGUGGCAAAUAAAUUACAUAAGCCAACGUCGGAAUGUCACUGAAUUGAGUAGUAUAGGCAAAUAGCAACCUAUGAGACGACGCAACCUAAUAACAAACACGGUUGGUCAACUAUAAAGUUUCAGGUUAGGUAGUAUACACUGAACAUCUUACUUUAUUAUUUUCUCACCCUGUUAAAUUGUAAUCUUUAUCCAUUAUACCUCAACAUUUUGAUUAAUUAGAUCGAAGCAUAUUAGUUCAUGUGAGAUGUUUGAUUAUUAUGUUUGAAUAAGGUUAAUAUGUUGAUAUUCAAACAUAUUAAGUUAUUUGAGAUGUUAUUCUGUUUGUGCAUUUCAAGUUCACUUUUUCCGACUUAAUUUUGAAUUUUUUUGAGUAUUUGGUGUAAAUAUGAGAUUCAUAUGAAAGGUAUUCUCUUCUACUGUAUGAAAGACUCUAAGACCCGAUGAGUCAUCUGCUUCUUCAGUUUAGUAGAAAUUCUUUCAUGCUAUUGCAUGAAACAUUUGCCUGGUCUCUUAUUGCUAUCUGAACUAGCUUGAAAAGUAUGGUUGCUCUCUUCUUUUCUGUUGAUCCUUAUCGAGAAUUUCCUCCUUUUUCCACUCUGCCCUGAAGAUUACCUAUAUAGGCUUCACAACCAUCCCUGCUUGCAUUUUUAUAAAAAGAUCAAUAGUGGUUGUCAAGCAUCUCCCCAAUACAUUUGUAUUACCCACCAAACAAGAAAAUAUUUCUAACAUAUUUAUUAUAUUUGGUUUCCAAUUGUCUUUGGCAAGGCCAACAAGUUAAAUUAAUUGAUGAUUCCUCUGUGGUUCAGCUUGAUUCUCUUAUCUGAACCUUGAGUGAGAUUUAAUAACAAUUUUCCAAUUGUCGACUUUCAUAUAUGUUUCUUAUAUUCUUCUUUGUCCUGCUUCAUGUUUUCCAAUUGCAGGGAGAAUUCUGAUUUUUGUUACUCUAGGUUGAAACUUAGUGUUCUUGAAUCUCACAAAUUUAAUAGGUAUAGCAUAUUAGUCAUAUGAAUUGAAGCUAACAUAAUUAUUGGUUACUCUUUAGGAUGAUGAUAAUCCUUCUUUGUCAAAUGCUUACAUGGCGUCCAAAAAUUUUCAAAUUCUGAAUUUUAUAGUUAUUCUACCAUCUAUUAUUGCGAGAGAUGGGACUUGAGGAUCACUGCAUUAAACAUGAGAAGUGGCUGACAUGUUUGAGCCAGGUGUGGCACCAAAUGCUAUAACAAGGAUGUCACUAACAUUGAAGAGUUCUCUUACUAUUUUGGAGCUAUUAAUGCAAGGUAAACAAAUGGAUAGGAAACGUGGCAGAAGGCUGAAAUUAGAUAUGUUACAUGUAAAUUUCUUUUUUUCCAGAUUAAGGACAAUUAUGUAAUUUUCUUUUUCCAAUUUCUAUUUUUGCUUGCCGCAUGUUUCCAAAGAUCCACACAGUGGAUCUAAAAACUUCCACAUCUUUUAUUCUCAAAAUCCUACUUUUAUGUUCCAUGAAGAACAACAGCUUCAUUUCAUCCCAAUUUUAGAAAGGUUUGCUCCUUACAACAACAAGGAAAGGGUACAUCUCAUUUCCCGUGUUUUCUCUUCAUGGAUAUUGUGGGUUUUCUUUUCAAUCUCAAUUGUUGCUUCUUAGAUUUGCUAAACUUUCUUACUGGUGGUGCGUUUUUGGCUUGAUUUGCUGGGUUUAUGUGUUAUUCAAUGUUUUCUUUUCUAUCCUAAAUUACCACCUUCUACUUGGAGUCAAUUUUUAUUUAUUUUGUUUUUUAAUUUAUGUGUGAACGUCACUUGCUGGAUUUGCACGCGAGCUGCUAUUUGUUGGGAGUUUCGACGAACAAUAGGAAAACAAAAGGUGCUGCUUUCUUUUCUAGCCUAUUUUGCUUUCUUUCAUGAUUUUUCCCUCUAAUAUUAAAACAGCUGGAAAACAUUUGGUUGCCAUGUACUUAGUUUACUGCCUUCAAUUGUUCUAAUCUAUUGGUCUUAUUUCUCCUCUUUAAUUUGUUAUAUAUUUAAAAAAAAUACUUCAACGGUGCUAUAAACUACAAUAAUUUAACAAUUUAAAAUAGAACAUAAGUAUGUAUGUCAGUACAUCUUAUUUGUUUCUUCUCGCAUAUGUUACUUGUAAUUUACUUUCCUUCUCUACCUAUUGGUUAAAUUUUACUUUCUCUUAUUUAUGUGAUCUGUGGAUGUUUUCAUAUGCAUAAUAAAUCUUUACAGCAAUAACAUCAAUUUCCCAAAACAAAUAGAUAAGUAUUGGAAAAGAAAAUGAUCAAUAUGCUAUAGCUGAGAACAAAGAGCUUUUGCAAGUCUUUAUUUUUGUCUUUUAAAUGAGUUGAUCUUUAAUUUAAGUCAAUAGCUAAAAGAACUUAUACCUACAUAAAAUAAGUUAGUUUGUUGGAUCUGGAUCAAUUUGUUGUCAUUUAAGUGCAAUUUGAACUGAGACAGACAGAUCAUUGUUCCCUAACUCUAAAGCUUUCAAGUAAGAACACUCCCCUAUGCUUGCAGAGAUACUUCCUGUUAGCUUAUUGUCUGAUAGAUUAAUGACUUCAAGAAGAGUUACCUUUAGUAUUUCUAAUUCAUAAACAAAACUUCUAAUCUUUGUUUUUAACUGUAGUAGUGUAAGUUUGGUUGCACUUUCAUGACUAUACCAUCUUACUUUUCGUGGCCUACUAUGAGAUCAUGUAUCGCAAGGUGAAAGAAAUUUAGACUCACAUUUACUUUUAGUAUUUUUUAAUUCAAACACAAGACUUCCAACAUUUAGCUUUAACUUGAGUAACUGUUUUGUUAGCUUUAACUAGAGUAAUUGUUUCAUGCAUGUGUAAAGCACAAUGCAGUUUCAAGAUUCAAUACUCUAAAUCAAGAAAUAGAAAGCUGGUAAAGAUUAGCUUAAAUGUUCAUUCUACAUCUAUGAAUGCUCUACGAUAUGCUAUCCUAAGUUCUAUGUUCUAUCAAUUGGCUUAAAAUUGUAUAUAUGUCUCGUGAUAUAUGAUAAAAGAGAGAACACUAACAUAGACUUGAGCACUUAGCAUCUGACUGUACCAAGUGAGGUUAAUUACAUGAAGGGGGUCUACUUGAAAUAUUUUUUUAACUGGCAAGAAGAAGACACCUUUCUUAAUUCUCAUAUUUACUUGUGUGACAUUGUUACUCCCAGGAAAUACUCGAAAACUGUAGUCAAUAGAUGGUGCUUCUAUAUCAGCAAGUAUUUUCUUUUUAAACAUUUUUUAAUGAUAAUUUUAGUAGCUCUAAGUCCAAUAAAUCAAAUAUAAGUCUUAUACAAUGUCUAAGUGGAAAUACUAGAAAGGUAGCAACUAUGUCCUCGAAUAUAUGAGUACAUACCAAGCUUCUUGAGCAGAGUCAAUAUCCCAAGCUUCCUCAAAAGAUCUCUUCACUUUCCACCACCAACACUUGUAACAAUAGAGAAAAUAUGGAAUUAGUACAAUAAUUACUAAGUAUGAUGACCAUGCAAGAAAACAUGCACAACGGACAUUUACAAGAAAUGUUUGCUUUUAAGACCUUUGUAUUGCGCACAUUGGUUUAAUUUGUCAUCAUUUAUUUUUUCUCAUUUCAGGUAUAAGAAUGACCCAGUUGCCCUAGAAAAAUUUAUGUGAAGCAAGAUGUUUUGUUAUUAGUGGACUGAAGUCUUUGGCAUUAAUGAAAUGGUGAAGCAUUGUUCACCAGUGUAGUGUGCACUGCAGACAAUGUGGAGGUGACUUUUUGAGAAGGACAUGUAUUAGGUCUUAACCAUAGAACACCCUUUCCUUUUGACAUUCUGGUCUACCUUGUGUCAUACAUAGACCCAGUGUAGUUUUUGUUCACUAUGCACCGUCUUUUGGUUAUUCCCAUAUAUGUAUUUCUGUUCAGUAUGGAUAGAACGUUGCAGUAGAUAAACUCACUACAUUUCUUCUUUUGGUCUCUUGUGUUUGGUGUUCAAAAAGAACCUAUAAACAUUACUAUCUAGACAGAAUAUUACUGAAGUGUCUAAAGUUAUCAGGGCAG